rnacentral:rRNA from 1 species
UACAGAGGUCUCAAGCGUUGUUCGGAUUCAUUGGGCGUAAAGGGUGCGUAGGUGGCGCCGUAAGUCAGGUGUGAAAUUUCGGAGCUUAACUCCGAAACUGCAUUUGAUACUGCGGUGCUUGAGGACUGGAGAGGAGACUGGAAUUUACGGUGUAGCAGUGAAAUGCGUAGAGAUCGUAAGGAAGACCAGUGGCGAAGGCGGGGUCUCUGGACAGUUCCUGACACUGAGGCACGGAAGGCCAGGGGAGCAAAACGGG